UACGUAGGGGCUAGCGUUGUCCGGAAUCAUUGGGCGUAAAGCGCGUGUAGGCGGUCCGGUAAGUCCGCUGUGAAAGUCGGGGGCUCAACCUCGGAUGCCGGUGGAUACUGUCGGGCUUGAGUACGGAAGAGGCGAGUGGAAUUCCUGGUGGUAGCGGUGAAAUGCGCAGAUAGUCAGGAGGAACACCAAUUGCGAAGGCAGCUCGCUGGGACGUUACUGACGCUGA
rnacentral:rRNA from 1 species